rnacentral:rRNA from 1 species
GAUGAACGCUGGCGGCGUGCCUAAUACAUGCAAGUCGAGCGAACAGACGAGGAGCUUGCUCCUCUGACGUUAGCGGCGGACGGGUGAGUAACACGUGGAUAACCUACCUAUAAGACUGGGAUAACUUCGGGAAACCGGAGCUAAUACCGGAUAAUAUAUUGAACCGCAUGGUUCAAUAGUGAAAGACGGUUUUGCUGUCACUUAUAGAUGGAUCCGCGCCGCAUUAGCUAGUUGGUAAGGUAACGGCUUACCAAGGCGACGAUGCGUAGCCGACCUGAGAGGGUGAUAGGCCACACUGGAACUGAGACACGGUCAAGACGCCUACGGGAGGCAGCAGUAGGGAAUCUGACGCAAUGGGCGAAAGCAUGACGGAGCAACGCCGCGUGAGUGAUGAAGGUCUUCGGAUCGUAAAACUCUGUUAUUAGGGAAGAACAAAUGUGUAAGUAACUAUGCACGUCUUGACGGUACCUAAUCAGAAAGCCACGGCUAACUACGUG